UCUCCGUAGGUGAACCUGCGGAGGGAUCAUUACCGAGUGAGGGUUCCGGCCCGACCUCCAACCCUUUGUGUAUCUCGACCCUGUUGCCUCGGGGGCGACCCGGCCUCCGCGUCGGGGCCCCCGGUGGACCCCCCAAUCAAACUCUGCGUCCAUGCGUCGGAGUCGCAAGUAAAUGUAAUCAAAACUUUCAACAACGGAUCUCUUGGUUCUGGCAUCGAUGAAGAACGCAGC
rnacentral:misc_RNA from 1 species